CCGACAACCCCCUCCGCCGCUGCCCGUCCGGCCAGGACAGCCGCUUGUCCCAGGAAUGUUGACCGAGGGGUCGAGUCCUGGGCCGCGGUCAAGACUGGUAUGAAGCUUCUAUUCAGGUAGGGAUGCUCACAAGAAUCCAAGCUACCAAGGAAGGGACUGAACUGAUCUGUCUUCCCAGAGAUGAUUCCUCCACCUCUCAUGGGACCCUCCCUUCAUGUUCAUGGGUUGUGCUUCUAGAACAUGAAUUUUUUUACUCUAACGCUGUAGUCUGAUAGCUAUUAAUGGCAUGGUAAAGAAAGGACAGAUUGUGCAACUGCAACAGUUUUUUGCAAACAUUAUGAACAGUCCCAGUGACUUUCAAUGAGUUGCUUGUCCAAGACUUUGUAAGUUUCUAAGUUUUAACUGCUGUUUAUAAUCCUAGAAUUAUGCCAUCUUGAGCUAUGUCAAUAUGACAGAAAAAAUAAACCUUUAUAGCAUACCUUUCCUGAAUAACUAGGGAAGUGGAGUAAUCUGUGGAACUCUACCAUUGAUUAAGGAAAACUGUGCUGGUUUUGGCUGGGA